rnacentral:rRNA from 1 species
UACGUAGGAGGCAAGCGUUGUCCGGACUGACUGGGCGUAAAGCGCCCGCAGGCGGCCGUGCACGUGGGGUGUGAAAGCUCGCGGCUUAACUGCGAGAGGCCAUCCCAUACGGCGCGGCUCGAGCCGUCCAGAGGCCGGUGGAAUUGCCCGGGUGUAGUGGUGGAAAUGCGUAGAGAUCGGCAGGAACACCCAGGGGAAAC